CAUACCAAGUAUUAUAUUACGUUAAGAUUUCCUUGCGUUUCUUUCUAUGGUACUGUACGUAUUACAUACAUUGUACUACAUUAUUGUACGAAUGGUUAUAGCUACUAUAAAUGGCUAUCUAAAAAACGGACAGUACUCGACAUUGUCUCUCGAUUCGUUUGCACCUAAAGCAGAAAAUACUAUGAAACACUUGGAGUGACUCGGUGAAUUCCGUGGAAGCCAAGACGGAUUGUGAUAAUUUCCUUUCCGAUUAAAGAUGAGUAGGAAAAUGUAUACCAGAAUAGGAUAGAACGAGGUAACUAGAAUGAUGCAACUUGUACCUUUCGCUCGCAUAUGUUUGCCUUAAUUUACAGUUUUUAUGAAACAGAAUGAUAUUUUUCUAUUGAAAAUGUAUAUUUACGAGACGUGAUAAAUUCCGAGUCGCUAAUCCACCUCGUUAUUACAGGUUUAUACGCGUGUGAUUUUAUCAAGUAGCUGUAUGCAGAACAAUAAGGGAAAACAACUUAUUGCGUAAGCUAGAGUAGCAGUUUCAUUUAAAAAUAUAAUUGUGUCGGCAGGCUAGUUCUUAUUAAGUCACUCGUUGAUUCGCUGUACAUUCUUGUUAAACUUUCUCUAUCGUGCUUUCGAAAGAAAUUUCAGUCUAAUUCUACCGUAGAAACGAUCCUUUUCCUAGAAAACAACUCCGAUCGCAUCCACGCGGACUAAGAAAAAUACGAGAAAAAAGAAAAAAAGGAAAACGCGCAACAGCGGAAACACUGCAGCAAAAACCACAGGGACAAAGGGUGAAUUAAAUCCGCUUUACGAGCGGGGUCAGCCAGACCCCGGAAGAGCGUGUAAGCGGUGGGGAUUAAGGCGAGGCCAUGCCAGGCGACAUAGCCAACAUAAUAAAAGUCAGUCCCAGCGUUCGAUCGUUCGACGUGGCCGGGGACGUUUCUUGAUCGUUCUCCAAAAGGUAUCGGUCGUGAGGCGGCACCGCGAGCCCGCGUUCCAACCUCUCCUCUCCCCAUUUUGACCUUGGCCACCUGGUUUCCCUGUUCCGCAUUCUAAAAAUAUUUACCGUGCGUGGAUAGCUAAUCGCGAUAAACAGCGAUUCGUCGACUCGCCGAUCCUCUUUUGUCCUUUUCCGUCGCCUGUGCAGAUUAGAACCGUCCAGCUGUUCUAUCGUCUUUUGAAUCGGAAUGAUUCUCCCGCCGUUUAGCCAUACUUAAAAUUUCCUCCAGAGAAGAAAACAUUUCUUCAUAACGCUCUAUAUAAAUCGCGCAUUCCGAAUUUCCGAAAUUUCCACUCGUCUCGAAGCUCGUCGAUUUACGUACACGAUUUCGUUCACGAGAAAAAGAAAAUCUGUUUAGUUUCGAGAAACUAGGCAAUCGCGUUAAGAAACCAAGAUAAUCUAUGCGUUCUAAAAAAUUAUGAUCGUUCGUUUUCUCGAUUAGAAACGCGAGAUAUAAUAACUGUUUCGCCGGACACGCCACGCGCUUUUUUCUCCAUGUUUCCGCGUCGUCCUUUCGAUUUCUCGAUUAUCGAGCUCGAAUCUGCGAAUCGGUGCACGAUUAUUUACACAUGCGAGAAUUAUAAAUAAAUGGAACGAUGAAAGUGUUACGAUUAUGACGAAACGAAGCGGCUUCUUGAAAUUCACUGACUCGUUUCAUUCGGUCCUGCACUCACGCGGUAAUACGAUCGCAAUAUCGUGCGCUCGCACCGCAAUUGUAAUAAUUAGUCUGCGGUUGUUUAUGCGGAUACGAUGUAUAUCGAAAUAUGCAAAAUAUAUGCGAGAUAACAUAUAAACGUACGUAUGCAGAAAAUACGCAAUACGAUACGCAAAAUUCCUAAAUUCCUUAUUCGUGUACCUUGCAUAAAAACAUGUAUUUGCAUAAACGCCUGCGUAAUCUAUAUAGCAAUUAUAACGUAAGUUACGACGUUUCCCCUGAUUUCGAACGAUAAUAACACGUAGUAGUAAUUUUUGAUCCAAUCGGUCGGACGAUAAUUUGUAAAUUUUCAUUUCGGAUAUUUUUCUUUGCAUCGAAGGAAAUGGACAAUGGCGACAUUUAAAUUCACGAAGCAAUCUAAUAAUCGAUCAGAUAUCGUUUUAUCAGAUAGAGUAACGAGAAAGAUACGUAGCAAACGAUCAAGCGAUACAAAUCUAUUUCCUCGCAAACUUCUAUCUCGUUUCGGUCUAUGGAAAUCAAAGAGAAUUCCUCUUGCAAACCACGGCCUGCCACCCAGUUUCUGCUUUCAGUGGAACACAACCAGUUACGACGUCUCGUUUCGUGGCUGUAACCACGUAAACACGAGUAGCAAUCCUGUCUCGUCGACAUAAACGUCGCUCGACUUUCGCGAACUGCAAACGUGUCUUCUGCUGCACCGACGAGAUUACAUUGAAAGUCGCUCCGUAAGCGCUGAACGAAACAGAGGGGAUACGACAAAAGAGAACGGGACAAGGAAGAGGGAAAGAUGGAAAGAGAGAGAGAGAGAGAGAGAGAGAGACAUGGAGCCGAGAGUUUAGCUUCGCAGAAAUCGACGGAGGAACCGGCGUUCUUUUUCCUCGGCACCUUGGUAACCGAGUAACCAAGUAACCAAGCGACCAAGUAACCACGCGGCAAAGCAGCAUUCGCGAGAUGCACGAGGGGAGAAACGGCAGAUAAGCGCCAUAGUAGCGAUCUGUCGGCGAGGAAAGAAAGAAGAGGCAAGUUUGGUGGAACGAGGAGAGUCGUUCGGUCGAUGGAGGGGGCUGGAGGCGGUGGAGGCAGAAACGUCGGAAGAAGAAGAAGAAGAAGAAACCGAGUGGAAGAGGUUAAUGGCCUCUGACACAGUGGUGAUAAAGGGGCAACGCAGCGGAGGCGAAACCGCAGAGAAUUCGAACCGACUCUGUAGAACACGAGAUGAGUAGAACGUGGAACCUCUCUUGGCAAGAGGAACACGGAGCUCUCUAGAGAUGACGCCGAUAAAUAUUUUCUAACCCACCGUAGAACAACGACAACGCGAUCUUCCUUCGAGAUCGUAGCGAUCGAGGUGGUAGAUAUUUGAUCAAAGCUGGCUUAAAUAUUUUCAGUUUUCAUAGAUGUUAAAAGCACGGUUUAUCGCUAGAAUCACCAAGCAUGUCCAAAAUGACGAAACGAUAUCGAAUUCUUUGUUCUUAUGAUUAAUAAUAAUAAUAAUAAUGAUGAUGAUGAUGAUGAUGAUGAUGAUGAUAAUAAUAAUACACAUUGCAGGGUAUAGAUAAACGAGACAGAAGAGAAGAAAAAGGUAAUAAGAUGAAAUACAGAAUCGACGAUUGACGAUUACGGACCGCGUUGCAAGCCGAUAAAAGAAGAAAAGUCGACGGCGUUAUAAAACUGGUUACGAUUAAGAAAAUCGUAUUUGUCGUAAUUAGUUGGACGAGGCUUGGGUUUCGAGAGAGCGAAACUUCCAAAGAGAGGACCAAGAAUAAAGACUCGUAUUUAUACAAAUAAUAGAUCUGUUAUGGCGGGGCGUCGUUCGGAGGUCAAUAACCUCAGACGCGAUCGAGUAACCAAGACACAGAGAUCUUUUUGGUAAAAUUAACUUAUCGAAACACCGCUUCGCAAUCUCGAGCAAACUACUUACCGUGGAUUAUCGGAUGGCGCGGCGCAUGCUACGUAAUAAGCGGCAGAAAUUCAGAGUGAAUUCAGAGCGAAGAAUGCAGGAAGCAAUCGAUAUCGGAAGACGUAACGAGCGAACGGAGCGGUAUUUUCCAGUAGCCACGCGGUUACUCUAAACAUGGCUUACUUUACGAGGUUUCGCUAUUCAGGACCGUGCAAAAUUCGAUAGCUACUCUAACCAGUACCGCGUUCUAUAAUCGUCGUUCUAGCCUGUCUGCUUCGUUUCACUUGCCUCGACGAGUCGUCGAAAGCCGUAGAAAUCUGGAAAAUCUGCGCGAGAUACGCGUUAUACCGAUACUCGGAACUACGAACGCCGAACAAAGCGACUCUCUCUAUGUAUCCAUGGAAUCGUCGUCGUGAAAUUUCUUUCGACGUCCGAGCAUCUCGAACCGUAGUCAUCCGCCGAUUAACGAGAAAACGACCAACAUCCGACGAAACGAUUCUCGCAAUAGCAACGUCCGAUUCUAAAGAGUCGCGUCCGAUCAUCGUUGCCAAAUUUCUUUACGCCAUAUACUCCCUCGCUAAUUUUAGGUGCCUCUCUGAAUGAUGCUCCAAGGUACAUACUACGUAUACGUAGCCAACACGUGGCGAGAUGGGAGAGGGCGAGCGACCGGAGUGCGACGAGGACAGAGCAGAGAGCCGAGAAAGAGCGGAGAGCGCGAGUUCUCUUUCUCUUGGUCUCUGUUCGCUGUUGGCUCUCGCCCUCGCCAAUCUUGCCUGCCUUUUCGGAUGUCCACGAUCGGCCUCUGCCGGCAGGCAGGUCGACGACCUCGAGGCGAUGCACGCGAGGGAAGGACGCGUGGAAAAUAGCGGGAAAACUGGCCUAGCUCGACGCUACUCGAACUUUCGAUCUCUCGCGAUUCGAUAAACUCGAUCGCCGACAGGUUAGACACGAAGCCGCGUCUUCCGCUCGCGUUUGCUCCGCUGCUCGCUGGUCGGACGCGUUCGUCGCGGCAGAUUCGAUGAAAAAUCAGCGACGCGACAAGCUGCUUUCCUCGUAAAUUUUCCACGCUCACGCGUUGCCGCUUUGUUCGUUCGGUGAUAAUUUCUACCCCGGUCGAGUACGAUAAUCGAGUACGUCGGCCCAUUUUCAGAAACACGUAAUACGUCGCGCGUUAAGCAUUUGUCGGAGAUUGGCAGAAAAACGGCAACUUUCUUUCGCCGACUCGAAAUAUACAUGUUCUCGGCGUUUCUCGUUUAAAAAAUCUCUUUAUCUCUGGCCUACUUUCCUCUGCACGCUUUUUCUGCCGGAAGUCGCGUGCACCGGUUGCGGGAGCAUCGAUAAAGAUUCGCUCGAUUUAUUACACACGCGCAAGAUGAACGAACGCUUUUACCGGUAUCGCGGUAUAUCGGUAUAAAAACAUCGAAACGCAUCACGCGCAGAGACACCGUAAAUACGUUGAUUAAUUACAUUGUAACAAAGUGCGACGAUAUUUCAAGCCGCGUCGCGUUAUUAAACGCGCUACGCGGAUACGCCGGCGGUCAUUUUUCAAAUUCCGUGGAUAGAAGGCGUAGCAAAGAGAUUCGACUCGAUUUUUUCAAAGACACGUAACUGUAGAGAUAUCGAUGCGAAAGAGAGCAACGGUAAAGCGACGAGGAAUCUCCGAAUUAAAAUUCGUUCGGCCGAUUCGUCACACCCUAUAUUCUCUAAUAGCGUGCGAACCUUUCCGAAUGUCCACUGCCCCCCGUUUACCCCUAACCGAUCGAAGAAUUUGAAUUAUCGCCGUGUAACUUUUAAUCUUUGCUGCGAGAAUUAGCAACUCGAAGUGAUCGAGGUAGGAUGGCAUUUUUAUAGUUGGCGUUACUUCUCGAAGAAUUAUUUCGAUGUUUUAAAAUACAACUCGCAUAACGUGCUUUACGAAGCCGAAUUUCUUGCUUCGCGAGCAGCAGCGUCUAUACGACGCAAAUCUUACGUGAAUGAAAUUGUAGCUACCGUAACCGUUACGUUCGCUCUACAUUGCGAGGUUUAUGCAUUUUAUCGCCACAUAAAAGACGCUUACUGCGAAUAACCUUAAAACCGUCGAAGAAAGCCAACAGAAGAUACGAAAACUCGGUCUUUAACCGACCGUAUACUCAACUAUAAAAAACUUUGUUGCUCGUUAGAAGGAACACGAACACUGUCGAACACGAACCACCUUUUUAUUCCACUGCACGUUCGUCCGAGUAAACAGACACGAAUACACGAUCGCUCGGAUAAACGAAUUUUCGAAUAGCGCAACGAUCGUUUGUCUCUGAUUUUGGAAUUUCAUUCGUGACAAAUGGACGAAAUAAAUCGUUCGAUUCGGAUUCCGCGACAUCUUUGCUAAACCGGACAGAUCGAAAGCAAGAGGAGGAGAGAGAACAGCGUUUGCCGGUGGAAGAGGAGCGCGAGGAGCGGGAAAAUGUCCGAACGAGAACGAUGACAUAAUAAUAACCAAGCGGAUCGAAGGGAUUCGGUCGAUUCGAAGCUCGUUAAGGCGACGCGAUCGAUUCUCAAGCCGAUCGAUCGCUAAUGAGACGGCGUUCGGAGGCGGCCCGUUAAAUAGAAAUCAAGCACGGAUCUACCACACUUUGAUUCGUUCUACGCUCUCUACACCGAUGCACGGCCCGUCCUGUUGGCUACUGCGCCCACGUUCGCUGCAACCGGAUGUGUAAAGCGCACCGGCCAGCCGCGGAACGUGACUCGUUCGCGACAUGUCAGAAGCUUGGUGAGCGCCGCUCUAAACUACCUUUUCCUUUACGUUCGCGACAUCGUCGUCGCGCGUAUAAGUCGACGAAGGAAACCGGCCGCGCGUAACUACGAAUUCGUCUCGCAGUCGUGAUUUUUUAUGCUCGCGCGAACAGAGCCACGGGAAACCGGUCAAAGAUCACAGUCACCUUCCUAUAUAUAUAUAUAUCGCGCAACGCUAAUUUAUAUUUUUCGCGUGAACAGUUAUCCACAUAUACGUAUACGUUACCUUCCAUUCGAACUUUUCUCCAUCUUGUUCUGCAUCUUCCGCUUUCAUUUUCGCGUUGCUUCCAAACUGUUCGCUUCGAAAUUUACAUUUACAACUUUUACUUGUUACGUUGAAUUUACAAUAUUUUCGCAUUUAGUAUCGAAAUAUCUGUUCUUCGUUAGAACGUUUAUAAUAUGAAGAUACAUAGAGGCAACCAGUUGUGUAUUUAUGGUUGUUAGUUUGCGGAUCGAGGCGUUGCACGAUAAGAGUCACCGUAUUUUAUCCGUACGAUAUUUCGUACGAUCAACGCUACCGCCUACUAUACGUUUUACGUUAAAUCGAUUCGAUGAUAAACGCUUACAUCUUUUUUCAUAUUUUCCACUACGAAAUUGUAUCUGGUCGACGAUGUAAUAACGAUGCAUGCUUUACAACUUGCGCAUGGAAAUGUCACGUAAACGCUACGGCACGGCGCUUCGAUAUUUUAUCGUCAAGUUUCACGCUUCGAAAAUGCAAUCGACCCUUCGAGCCUUACGCCACGGUCUAUUUUCUACUUUCAUACCGGUGCUUACGUUCGACGCGUCUCUGUAAACAAACCGUGUCUCUUUUACAAACUGUACGUCCGAGCAAAAGAAUCGCGUUUUUGCCGCUAAUGCGAAACACACUUUGGCGAGAAAAUGUAAUUUUUGACAUUGCGUAUGCGGGAUCUCGCGAUUCUAAUUGCGGCGCAAGACGGCAGAGAUACGUUCUUUCUUUUUCUUUCUCCCCCCCCCCCGCGGAUAUCAUCCGCGGUGUUUCCCGAAUACUUAUUUAUAACGCACGGAUUAUCGACAGCGUGGAAGAAAAAGCUACGCGAUCGCGCGAUAAGAACGCAAAUUAGAUCGUUCCCUGCGUAAUCGUCACCAAGAGGAACAACGAGACCGGAACGGUCAGGGACGGUGAACAAGGACUCGAUACGAUCGAGGAUAACCCGUUGUUGCUCCGAAUCAUUGACAUAAUAACUCGUUAAGAAUGUAUCAAAGUACGAGCAGCUAGGCGAUAAUUAUCGUUGGAAUAUUUAUUCGUAACAUCGUAAAAAUAAUAGUAUCGUCAACGUCCGUCUAAAAAGAUCAUCGGGAAUCGUACGAACGCGAGGGAUGCUCUUUUUAAGGCUAAAUCUCAUUGCGCAACGUCCGAAACGACUCGAUGUACAUGCAUUGCUUGUAAUUUCUAUCGCGGUCAACGUUGCUUGAUUCGAGGAAACGCAAUCGAUAACAGAUACGUAUUGUACAUGGGAAAUGUACUUAUGUUUGUUCGCAAAAGUGCAUCGACCGAUACAGACGCUUUAAUUCCGCGACUGCUACUUCCCUUCUCGCCGAAAAUCUUUCCGAAGGCUUUCGGAAACGAAGUUGGUCAAACUCAACCCGAUGGACGAACGAAACAUAAAAAAAAAACCGAAAGAAACGUAAAUUUCGCCGUGAACUCUUCGAAACGAUCCGAUUAAAUUCUACACGGUAUCGGUCGUUUUUCACCGGCUUUUACUAGUUUUUCACCCCUACGCCGCUCGUACUCGUAACUCAUUCGCGCUAAGAUAUCUCCUAUGCGGAACAACGACUUGCUUCGAUAAACCCCCGCUGUCUACCGAAGGCUUGUCGCGUUUCGCAACUUACUGUCGCGGUAAAAUUGCCACGACAUCGUCGUCAUCGCGCUGAACGAAAACGAAAGGGAAGGAAGGGGGCAAGGAACGACGGGAGGAAUGCAGUCCCCGACAGAGUUUAUUACAAAGGUAUACGAUAUAUCGGCGAAACGAAGCCGUUGCUCUCGUUCGAGUUCCGUUUCGUUGGCAAUGUUAUCGGUCGGCGGGUGCGCGCGCUAGGCUGGUUCCGAUCGUUCGAUCGACCGAGAGACCGACUUCGAUCACCACUCGCCACAUCGUUAACCGUUAAUUGCCGUUCGCAUUUUUUCUCCCUGGCCGUUUCUUCUUAUUUCUCCGAAACGGCCGUUUAGACCGAUUAACCGCGUCCCUGCGACGUCGAUACACGAUCUUUUCGACUUAUUUGUUUCGCGUAGAAUCGCCCUGUAUUCGAUCGUACUAUCGAUCGUAUACGAAUCGAUGGCCAUUCACAAAAGAAUCGUACGAUUAAGUUUGAUAGAAAACGUCUGUUCCAGCGAGUUCCGAAGUCGUAAAACCGACCGCCGCUCAAAUUGAAUACAUACUCUGUUCGAUCGUAUUACGCAGAGGCGAGGCGUCCGAUAAGAAGACGAUGAACCAUCGUGACGAACGUUUGACGACAUCGUGUCGUAAACCAGGAUGCGUAAUUUUCAACUACGGACGACAGGAUGUCGUUACGCUGGAAAGUUUCCCAACGAAGGAAGCGUGAAUUUCCUACGUCUCUUAAAUCGACCGAGAUAAUACAGUGGUGUUCGGUAGAAAUGGCGAUUGCACGCAAUCCUAUGAUAUUCUAUUGGAUAUCGUAAUAAAGCGUUGUAUUUCGUACAAAAUUAAAUCGCACUUGGCGGACAAAAAUGAUUUGUAUAAUUAAAGUUAAGAAUAACUAUACAUGUACAUAUAGUAUAUCGAUGACCGACUAAAAAUCUAGUUACAUACGGAUAUUACAGAGAGCGAUUAUUGGCAACUAGAUUUAGGGGAUGAAACAAGGAGAAGGAGAAGAUGGAGAAUCACGGUGGCGAAAAAAUCAAUCGUACAAACUCCAUUAUUUUGUAAUAAUAAAAUGUAUUAAAUAGAUAGUGUAUUGUUGGCAAUACUUAUCAAACUACAAUUUUCUUCAAUCGUGGUACAUGAGACUCGCGUAUAUGUGUGUUCUUUCGGUAAAUGAAACGAAGAAGAAUCGUCGAUGCGCGGGACAACGUUCGUUCGACGUCGGGUGAAAACGGUAAAAAAAAAAAAA
rnacentral:lncRNA from 1 species